rnacentral:rRNA from 1 species
ACAUGCAGAGAACUUUCCAGAGAUGGAUUGGUGCCUUCGGGAACUCUGACACAGGUGCUGCAUGGCUGUCGUCAGCUCGUGUCGUGAGUAUGUUGGGUUAAGUCCCGUAACUAGCGCAACCCUUGUCCUUAGUUACCAGCACGUUAUGGUGGGCACUCUAAGGAGACUGCCGGUGACAAACCGGAGGAAGGUGGGGAUGACGUCAAGUCAUCAUGGCCCUUACGGCCUGGGCUACACACGUGCUACAAUGGUCGGUACAAAGGGUUGCCAAGCCGCGAGGUGGAGCUAAUCCCAUAAAACCGAUCGUAGUCCGGAUCGCAGUCUGCAACUCGACUGCGUGAAGUCGGAAUCGCUAGUAAUCGUGAAAUCAGAAUGUCACGGUGAAUACGUUCCCGGGCCUU